rnacentral:lncRNA from 1 species
GAAAAUUUCCAUAAUAUUUAAGAAUGAGGAAAGAUCAUUGAAAUCUAGAUCUCUGAAAAGGCGGCCCUCCCUAUGACUGGCGUUUUCUGCGACAGCCCAGGAGCUUGAGCACGUGCACGGCAGUCUGUGCGUGGCAGUGGCGCAUGUGGUGGCGUGUGUGGUGUGUGUGCUUGGUGGCGUGUGCGUGGCGGCAUGUGAGUGGUGGCGUGUGAGUGGUGGCCGUGGCAGUGUGUGCAUGGUGGCAUGUGGUGGUGUGUGAGGCGUUGGCAUGAGUGCACACACACUGUUGCACAUCUCUGAAUGCGUUGUCUGCUGCAGGCUCAGGCCCGUUCCUUCCAGAGCCUUUCCCCACCUCCUGCUCUAGGCUUUGCUGGCUCCUGCCUCAAGCAUUCGGGAGUCAUCCAGUGGCCCUGACACGUUUAUGGGGCCACCUAGUGGCUUUAACCCACCUGAACCCACACCUCUGCCUGCACCCACCCCUUGGGCGCGGCCAAGGGCCACUGGUGACAGUGAAGUUCAACCACACUCCCAGGAGCCCUGUGUCAACCCAAACCGCCUACCUUCUGCGCAGCAUCUAUUCCGAGAACAAGAAAGAAGUUCUCCUGGCAACGGGACUCGCUCCAGAGGCGCUGAGAAGUAGACGUGGUGUGUAUG